UGAGCAUGAACAGCUUGUGCAGAGGAGACCCCUCCGUCGGGAGGCUGCAUCUCCCCUGGCUGCCCUGUGCAUCCAGGUACGUGUUCUUUGGUUUCUCAAUCCUAGUUUAGUGUUCGCU